AUCCGCGCCAAAUGAUGAAUCAUCUGUACUAACCAUCCAAAAGUCUUCUUUGAUUUCUUCGGAUUUCUCUGGGGAUGGCUGCAUGGGACCUUGGGUGUAGUAGUCAAGCGAUGGGGUGACGCAGGAAGGUAGCUGGGCCAGGUGAUGGAAGUCCUGGUGUAAGCCUGUAGGGAGAGACAUAGGCAAAUCCGUGUCUCAUUAAUCCUGAGAGGUGGUGCGUAGCCGUUGAGGCGAAUUCAGUGAUCCUAUGCUGUCGAGAAAAGCCUCUAGUGAGUUGGUACACGGCCCGUACCCCAAACCGACACAGGUGGUCAGGUAGAGAAUACUAAGGCGAUCGAGUGAACUGUGGUUAAGGAACUCGGCAAAUUACCCCCGUAACUUCGGAAGAAGGGGGACCACGAUUGGUGAACGCCUUUGCGGCGGGAGCUGGUGGUGGUCGCAGAGACCAGAGAGAAGCGACUGUUUACUAAAAACACAGGUCCGCGCGAAGUCGUAAGACGAUGUAUACGGACUGACGCCUCCCCGGUGCUGGAAGGUUAAGAGGACCGGUUAAUCAACUUUGUUGGUGAAGCUGAGAAUUUAAGCCCCAGUAAACGGCGGUGGUAACUAUAACCAUCCUAAGGUAGCGAAAUUCCUUGUCGGGUAAGUUCCGACCUGCACGAAUGGCGUAACGACUUCUCUGCUGUCUCAACCACAGGCUCGGCGAAAUUGCAGUACGAGUAAAGAUGCUCGUUACGCGCGGCAGGACGAAAAGACCCCGGGACCUUCACUAUAGCUUGGUAUUGGUGUUCGGUGCGGUUUGUGUAGGAUAGGUGGGAGACUGUGAAGCUGGCACGCUAGUGUUGGUGGAGUCGUUGUUGUAAUACCACUCUGAUCGUAUUGGGCUUCUAACCUCGGACCAUGAUCUGGUUCAGGGACAGUGCCUGGUGGGUAGUUUAACUGGGGCGGUUGCCUCCUAAAAUGUAACGGAGGCGCCCAAAGGUUCCCUCAGCCUGGAUGGCAAUCAGGUGUUGAGUGUAAGUGCACAAGGGAGCUUGACUGUGAGACGUACAUGUCGAGCAGGGACGAAAGUCGGGACUAGUGAUCCGGCACCGGCAAGUGGAAGCGGUGUCGCUCAACGGAUAAAAGGUACCCCGGGGAUAACAGGCUGAUCUUCCCCAAGAGUCCAUAUCGACGGGACGGUUUGGCACCUCGAUGUCGGCUCGUCGCAUCCUGGGGCUGGAGUAGGUCCCAAGGGUUGGGCUGUUCGCCCAUUAAAGCGGCACGCGAGCUGGGUUUAGAACGUCGUGAGACAGUUCGGUCUCUAUCCGCCGCGCGCGUCUAGAAACUUGAGGAAACCUGUCCCUAGUACGAGAGGACCGGGACGGACGAACCUCUGGUGUGCCAGUUGUUCCGCCAGG
rnacentral:rRNA from 1 species